AUUAGCAUUUUAGCUCAAUAGCUCUCAGGUCAUGUGACUUAUUGACCCCAAACUAAUGCAGAAUGAUAGUGCUACUAAAGAUGGUCAACAUACGGCAAUUUAUAUUUGAUUUUAGGACAUUAUUGAUUUUUAACAGUUUUUUGACAGUAAAUAUUAGCUUUUUUGCUCAAUAGCUCUCAGGUCAUGUGACGUAUUGACCCCAAACUAAUGCAGAAUCACAAUGCUACCUUACCUGGUCAGCAUACGCCAAAGAAGAAGAAAUAGUUUGGCUUAAAAGAUUUUAAAGCAAAAAAUUAAACAUUUUUUAAUGUAAAUAUCAGCAUGUCUUCUCAUUUCGGUCCAGAUCAUGUGACUUUUCGACUGAGGUUUAUUUUAUUAUCACACUAAUAGAUCACUGGGAUGACACACAUCACUUUUUAUUUGAAUUCACAAUUUUUAAGACAGACAGACAGACAGAUAGAUAAACAAGUUUUCAGCUUCUUAUACUUCAAGCUAUUUAUUUAGUGUAAAUAUUAGCCGUACAAUUCGAUAGUUAACAGUUAAGCUGAGUCAGUUACUUAAAACAUCCCUGUAUAAUACAUCUGCGAAUGCAGCGCUUUAUUUUUUAAACCGGAAAUAGUUGAUGCGCGGUCGUGCAUUUACCGUAAGCUGACGAUAAGAGCGCACUGAAAAUGUAGGAGCGGCUGGCUUGACUACGGAGAAACGAGAGGCGGCUGGCUUGACCGCAG